AGUGAACGCUGGCGGUAGGCCUAACACAUGCAAGUCGAACGGCAGCACAGUAAGAGCUUGCUCUUACGGGUGGCGAGUGGCGGACGGGUGAGGAAUACAUCGGAAUCUACUUUUUCGUGGGGGAUAACGUAGGGAAACUUACGCUAAUACCGCAUACGACCUACGGGUGAAAGCAGGGGAUCUUCGGACCUUGCGCGAUUGAAUGAGCCGAUGUCGGAUUAGCUAGUUGGCGGGGUAAAGGCCCACCAAGGCGACGAUCCGUAGCUGGUCUGAGAGGAUGAGCAGGCAAACUGUAACGGAGACACGGUCCAGACUCCUAGGGUAGGCAGCAGUCGGGAAUAUGGGACAAGGGGCGCAAGCCUGAUCCAGCCAUACCGCGUGGGUGAAGAAGGCCUUCGUGUUGUAAAGCCUUUUGUUUGGGAAAGAAAAGCAGCAGGUUAAUCCCCCGCGGUGCCGACGGUACCCAAAGAAUAAGCACCGGCUAACUUCGUG
rnacentral:rRNA from 1 species